AUUAUUAUUAUUUUUUUUUUUUUUUUCGUCUUGUGGGAACACACCGCUAAAAUUAGGUAUAAAUUAACUAAAAGUGUUUUGGUAAAAAGCUAGUUGACUUUUUAACAUUAGCCAGAUUACCAUACUUUAAUUCAGUAUUAAUAAGAUUCAGAAGUUAAAUAUCUACAAAAACCCUGCCGGAAUAGACCGGAGUACCGAGAGGAGCUCUCAGGCCUGUUAGGUAUUUAAACUAAAAAUCUAAACUAAACUAAAAAACUAACUGGCUGUUUCAGCUCUCGGUGAAACGCGAUCUUAUUACUGAACUACAGCGUGGUUUAAAAGCUGCUGCUGAUUGAGAAAAACACACCCUGUGGUGGGAGAGAAGGUCGUGAAUCAGCUCUUAAACAGCGCUGGGUGUUUGUUUUGUUUCUGAACGAGCAGGUGAUGCUGCAACUGGAUUUUAUAAAGAUAUGAGAAAAUAAUGCUUUCGUCGUGGAUUUAACAUGAAAAGGUAAGCUGCUGUUAUGUUCUGAUCUGUGCAGGCAGUUUAUGCACUUAACGUAACUCCGUUAGACAACUAACUUACAGAGCUAGCGUUUGUUGUGUCUCCGGCUUAGUUUUCUGCAGUCCAUGAUUAUUAGCUAAGGUGUUUAGUUUAUUUUGACCCCAAACAGCAGCAUUCACUGCAUUUUGCAUACUAUUAACUAACCGCGUGAAUCCACUGUACGUGCAAGUUAGCGUUAACUUCAUCACGAGCGAGUAACUCUUGUCUUUUUUUUAAUCCUCACAGUUUCUGUCAGAAAACACUGAAAGAAAACUUCUCCUCUGUCUCUGUUUAUACAGCGUUGGUUUGGGUUUAAAGCUGGGUUUGUUGUGCUGGAUAUUUGGUUAGGAGCAGGAGAUUUUAUAAGAUGUGUGGCUGCAUAAUUGUGAACUGAGAUCGCGGUCUGUGAAGUUACACCCGCAGCUAACCAGUGAAUUUAAAAAACAAAUAAACACAGCUGUUACUGGACUUGAUGGGUUUAAAAAAAUGAGUUAAUUAAUUUUAAAAGACUAGGCUACUAAUGUUGGCCCUGCGGAGUCCAGCUGAUCAUCCAGAAAUAAACAUUACCUAUGCUGGACAAAAAGUAAUUUAAAGAGCUAACCUCCCAGGGUGUGUUUGUUUGUUUUUUUCUGGUUUUGAGCAUUUUUUUAAGGAGGGAGUGUAAGUCUGUGCUGCAGUAGAAGAGUGUAAUUUAAGAAAAGUUGCUGUAUUUGUCUCACUGUCUUAGUAUAGACUUUAAACAUGUUACUAAAAAUUAACACUGGACCGUGUUUUUAAAUACUUGCCAUUCUGGAUGUCCUGAACAUUUUCAUGCAGGCCUGUGUGUUUUAAAAAAUAUAUAUUUUAUUCAUUCUAUUUUAUGUUGGUUAGUUUUAUUUAUAUAAAGUAAGACCUGUAGAUCUACUUUAUUGGAUAAAUUGAUACAGCUACCAUGAACUGUUGUGUUUCUGUUCUGUAAAAUCAGGCCCAGUUCCAAAAGACACAACAUCCUCAGUGUCCUGGAGCUCCAGCUGAAGCACUGGCCACUCCACCUUCUCCAUCCCCACCCAAAAGAGGAAGAUCAGCAGCAGUGGAGGGUCCCAGGAUGUUGAGAUGGUAGUGCAUAGCGGUACUUCUAAGGCAGCUAGUUGAAGGCGUGAUUGAGGUCCAUGCCAGAGGGGUUCUGCACUGUGACCUCAAGCCAUAGAGCAUCCUGGUUCAGAUGUACAGUUAGGAACCACGCCUUCAUCUUCUGUUCUUCUGAACCUUCCUCAUGAGUGGUUUACCCAUGAGGCCAAAUCCUCCACAGUGUUGCAGAUAGGAAUCAUCCUGCUGUGUGUGAGAGGUGACCCUUCAACACUAGCAUGGAGAUCACCUCAAAGAAGUCUCAGAUCAUCUCUCCACCAUCUGCUCUAUGACCCCUGGCUAAGUAUACACCACGACACAGCCACCACAUCAGGCACACCUCAGUCAGGUACCAUAUAAAACAAUAAUAAUAAUAAUUUAAAGUUCUCUAGUAGAGCUGGGCGAUUAAUCGAUUUUAUCAAUAAUUCGAAUUUACAGUUAAGGACAAUGUGUUUUUAUGAAAAUCGAUUUUCUCUGAGUUUUCUUUUUCACCACAGACGCUCCUCUGUGGGCACAGAGUGAGCUUAGCUAGCUCCCUCCAUACCUCCCUCCCUCCUGUGCGCGCACCCCCGCCCCUCCCUCACUCCCUCCCUCCCUCCCUUGCACGCACAAACACACACACAUACAUACACAAAACACAUGACGGCAGAGCUUAAGAGCAACUAGCUCCGUGAUCUGGAGUUGGUUCGGUUUUGCGGCGUCGGACGUAGACCAAACAGGUACUCGCUGUAAGGUGAACCAAUUUAUCACUAUACAUUAAACAGAAGCAUGUAGCGGAGUGGGAGAAGUGCUGCUACCAUAGGAAUGAACGCAGCAGCAGCACUAGUUCACCAUUCAACGUUAAACAAGGAACUGUCCCUGGCACAUCUUCCAACCGUGUACCAGGUUCUGUAUGCACUACAAGUUAAGAUGUUUUGCAUAUUCAUGAGAAAAGAUCUCAUUUUAUAGAACACUGGCACUUAUUUAAAAGCUUUGUUUUGCAAUUCUAGCCCAAUAGGGAAAAGUAUUUACUUAAGAGCAUAUAAAUUGUACUUGUUUUCUAUUGUCUACUUUGUAAGUUUUAUCAAAAAAGGGCACCAUUUUAUUUAUUUCUAUUUGUUUUUAAGGGUGUGUUUAUUUAUUUAUUUAUUUUUUAAGUUUGAGGGUGCAUUGUGUCAGUACCUAAACUAUGUUGGAGAAAGCUUUCUAAAAGUCACUAGAUGUUCUCACUGUUUACAAUAGUUUUUUUUUCUUGUUUCUGGUUGCACUUUAACCACAAAUGGAACAUUUUAAGUGAAAACAAAUUAAAUAAGAACUAGUUUUUAACCAUUUCUUUAUCAUCUUUAGUUUGAUUUUUAGUAGGGGGAAAAAAUCGAUUUAAAUCGAAAAUUGGAUAAAAAAAAAAAAAUCUAAGAUUUUUUUUUCCGCCAUAUCGCCCAGCUCUAUUCUCUAGUUUAGAGGGUUUUUUAUAAAACACACCUAAGGAAAAUAGCAGGUAUUAAUAAAGCUAUUGAUUCCAUACUUUUAAAAAGGUAAUGAUUUUCUUUAACUAUAUAAAUGUUUUAAUCGUUUUGUGUAUUGUAUGCUUUUAGUUGCUUCCUGUUUUGUAUUUGUGUUCAUGUAAGGCUUCAAUACUUUAUCUUGAUAUUGUUUAUCUUUUGAUGUUUAUUAAUUACUUAACUGUAUUUAUCUUUAUGUCGUAUACUGUUCAUACACUUUUUGUAUAUAUUUCUUUUAUUGCUUAGUUACUUGCUUUAUUAAUGGUUAUUGUAUUGGUGUUUUAGUCUUAUUUUGGGCUUAUAUUCAUUAAAAACAUUUUAACGUUUGUCUUUUAGUGCUUUAAUCAAUUAAUAUUGUACUUACCUUUUACUAUUUUAAUAUUAAUCUUUCUGUACUUAAUUCUGAUAUUUAUACAUUAUUUUUAUUUCAUUUUCUUUCAGCUUUGUAUUACAUUGUUUAUUAAUUGUAUGUCUUUAUACGGGAUUUUAUAUUUGCAUUGUAUAUAUUAUUUUUUCAUUUAAUGUUUAUGCUCUUUGUCUUUUUCAGAUUUUUACAUUUUUCAAUUUGUGUAUUGACCCAAGGAUGGGUUCCUCUCAAGGUUUCUAUCUCUCUUUCUGAGAGAAUUUUCUUUGCCGCUGUCUCCUUUGUGCUUACUCAAAAGAGGUUUGGACACUUUUUUUUUUUUUUAACUGUUCUUAAUUUUGUUUGUUUCUUUGUCAAUAAAUGUUUUUUAUUGCUA